rnacentral:rRNA from 1 species
GACGAACGCUGGCGGCGUGCCUAAUACAUGCAAGUAGAACGCUGAAGGAGGAGCUUGCUUCUCUGGAUGAGUUGCGAACGGGUGAGUAACGUGUAGGCAACCUGCCUGGUAGCGGGGGAUAACUAUUGGAAACGAUAGCUAAUACCGCAUAAUAGCAGUUGUUGCAUGAUAACUGUUUGAAAGGUGCAAUUGCACCACUACCAGAUGGACCUGCGUUGUAUUAGCUAGUUGGUGGGGUAACGGCUCACCAAGGCGACGAUACAUAGCCGACCUGAGAGGGUGAUCGGCCACACUGGGACUGAGACACGGCCCAGACUCCUACGGGAGGCAGCAGUAGGGAAUCUUCGGCAAUGGACGGAAGUCUGACCGAGCAACGCCGCGUGAGUGAAGAAGGUUUUCGGAUCGUAAAGCUCUGUUGUAAGAGAAGAACGAGUGUGAGAGUGGAAAGUUCACACUGUGACGGUAUCUUACCAGAAAGGGACGGCUAACUACGUG